AUUCAACGCUUUUCAAAUAAUCUGAUACAUACCUACGCAGGCGCAAACAAUCUCAUCGUUAUUAAUCCAAUGAAACAAUUGUCGAUUUACAGCGAGAAAGUUGUCGCGCUUUUCAAAGGCUGCAAGAUUGAAGAUAUGCCACCGCAUAUUUACUCCAUGGCGCAGUCUGCGUAUCACCAAAUGCUGCAGACACGUAAAGAUCAGUCGAUUGUCUUUACAGGCCGCAGUGGCGCUGGUAAAACGACGAAUUUCCGCCAUUGCGUGCAUUAUUUAGUCACGUGCUCAGGCGCAACGAAUAAAAUCCUUACUUUGGAGAAACUCAACGCCAUCUGGAAUAUUCUAGAGAGUUUUGGUAAUUGUAAAACUAUCAAUAACACCAACGCCACGCGUUUUACACAAAUCUUCAGCCUGGAUUUCGACCAGAGCGGGUUGGUUGCAUCCGCGAGUAUGCAACUUCUGAUGCUCGAACGCUCGCGUAUAUGUAAGAAACAAGAUGGCGAGACCACGUUCCAUAUCGUGCAGAGGUUGCUCUGGGGAGUCGAAGGUAAACUCAAAAAAGAUUUAUUCCUGGAUAGUUUAACCGGAAACGAGUCAAACGCGUUGUAUAAUCAUCUGACGAAGAUUGAAGACCGACAACGUGCACAGAUUGAGUUCGGUAAGGUGCAGCAUGCGUUCACGGUGUUGGCAGCGACAUCUGGUGAUGUGCGAGCGAUAUGGAGUGUCAUUGCGAGUAUUUAUCAUCUGGGAUGCGCGGGCAGUACCAAGAUUGGGUCGAGUAGUAAAUAUCAGUUUGGGAAUCCGGUGUGUGCGAAGAGAGCGGCGGAUUUAUUGGGUGUUACUGUGGAGGAGUUGGGGAGGAGUAUUUUUCAAGCGUGUGGCGGUGGAUCGACGAAUACGUUGACGCCGAAUAGUGCUAAUGGCGGACGGGGAGCGUAUCGCACGCCAUCGCCGACGGAUCGGAAUAAUUUGGAGGUUACUGGGUAUGAUGCACUGGAAGGGUUUAUCAUCGGGUUGUAUUCGGAGGUGUUUAAUAGUGUUGCUGCUAUUAUUAACAAAUCAAUUUCAACGAAUUCCCACACUGUAUCAUCAAUACUCUUAGUCGACACACCUGGUUUCCAAAACCCAGCAACCUGUGGCCGUCAAGCAGGCGCUGGCUUCGACGAUUUAUGCCACAAUUACCUCCAAGAGCGCCUGCAACUCCUCGCACACCAUACCAAUCUAGUCCUACCGAAAGACCGCUACCUCCAAGAGAACAUCGACGUUGAAACUGAAGAUUUCGCGAUAAAUCCAACACCGCUGGUUAAUUUAUUGGAUAAAACCGCGCAGAAUACAGUGGUGAAGACAUCACAGACUGAUUUGCACGAGGCGGAUAGAAGGGGUUUGUUGUGGUUGUUGGAUGAGGAGGCGAUUUAUCCGGGCGCGUCGGAUGAGUCGUUUUUGGAGCGGUUAUUCACGCAUUUUGGCGAUAGGGAUCAUCAGUUGUUGUUGAGGAAGGCGCCCGGGCAGAAUCAGUUUGUGCUGCAGCAUUUACAGGGCACGAAUCCGGUGUUGUAUAGUGCGACUGGAUGGUUGAAGCAGAGCAGGGAGAAUCCUGUGAGUAGGAACGCUGUGGGGAUCUUACAGGAGAGUUGCACUGAAGAAGUAAGCAAACUCUUCGUAACAGCCCGUGGCCUAGGCGGUUCGACAUUCAGCGGUUCUCUUGUGGGCAUAGAAGGCUCCCAAUCACUGCGAAGGGCUUCCAGCAUCCGCCGAACGUUCACCGCCGGUACAGCGGCUAUCAAACGCAAGUCAAUAUGCUUACAGACGAAGUUUAUCAUCGAUGGCCUUGUGGAGACAAUCAGACGCACCAAACUGCGAUUCAUACACUGUGUGCUGCCACAGCAUAAUGCCGGACAGUGUGACGCCACCGGCGCUGUGAUGGCGAUCAAGGGCGGUGUAAAUGGCGGCGGGGGGAUUGAAGAGGGGUUGUUGAAUGUCCCACUGCUAAGAUCACAGAUAAGAGGCGGUCAGAUUUUGGACACAAUCAGACUGCACAAGCAAGGUUUCCCUAUGUUUAUGCCUCUGGGUGAAUUCCGACGUCGUUUCCGGCUGUUAUCGGGUGAUAAUGCGUCGAAAACCGGGCAUGUGCAGGUCUUGGACGAGCGGAAAGCGGUUGAAGAUAUGUUGAUGACGAUGGACUUGGACAGUUCCGGUUAUCGCGUCGGUAUGAGUCUGAUAUUCUUCAGAGGUGGUGUUCUCUCCGAGUUGGAACACCAGCGUGAUGAGCGCAUGGCCGGUAUGGUUGUCAGUCUACAAGCGCAUUGUCGUGGUUACCUCGCCCGGAAACGCUUGGCGAAGCGGAAGUUGGAAGACUUGGCCGUUAGAUGUCUGCAGAGGAAUGUGCGGAAGUUUUUGAGCGUGCGUGAUUGGCCAUGGUGGCGCCUCCUGGUGAGGGUUACGCCGCUGUUGAAUGUGCAUCGCACGGAGGAGGAGCUUAAGUUGAAGUCGGAAGAGCUGGAGGUGCUCAAGGCCAAGCUGGAGAAGAUCGAGGCGGAGCGGCAACAUCUCAAGCAUGAGAAUGACAAGUUGGAAUCAAAGUUGAGUGAGAUGACUGUGGAUCUUGCCGAGGAGCACUCAACGGCUACGUUGGCUACAGAGAGAUUGGAUGCUGAGACGGCUGAGAGGGUGCGUGUGGAGAGGGAGAUGUCGGAGACGGCGCAUAAGAAUAAGGAGCUGACGCAGCAGACGGAGCGGUUGGAGAUGGAGUUGUUGUAUGCGCGCUCGGAUUUGAAUGGUAUUGAUGAGGAGGAUGAGGAUGCGGAGGGUGAUGGGAUUUAUAGGCAGAGGUAUGAAAGGACUGUGAGGGAGUUGGAGUUUACGAAGAGGCGGCUGCAGCAACAGCAUGAGGAUGACUUGGAGCAGUUGGUGGGGUUGAAGAAACAAUUGGAGAAGAAGUUAACUGAUGCAUACGAAGAAGUUGAAGAACAACGCCAAGUCGUCGGUCAAUGGAAGCGUAAAGUCCAAAAACUCAACGGCGAAAUGUCCGACCUCAAACACCUCCUCGAAGAACAAAACGGCCGCAAUAAUCUCCUCGAGAAAAAGCAACGUAAAUUUGAUUCAGAAUCCCAAUUAUUACACGAUGAACUCCGGCAGGAAAAACAAGCAAAAGACCGCUUGGGGCGCGAAAAAGAACUCCUCUCAGCCGAGAAGUUCUCCAUUGAGAGUCAACUACAAGACGUCAAAAUGGAACUGGAAAUGAAAGAGGAAAAGUGCACAGCAUUACAACGAGAAUUAGACGAAUUAACCUACGGUGGCAAAACUGAAGAAGAAGUCGCCCUGCUACGCAAACAGAAAAUGGAGUGUGAACGACGUCUGCAUGAUCAAGAAGAGGAAUUGGAUGAACAAGCAGGACAAGUACAAUUAUUAGAACAAGCUAAACUUAAGCUGGAGAUGUCUCUGGAACAAAUGAGGAAGCAGAGUAAGAAGGAAGCAGCCACACAUGAUGAGGAAUUGGAAGAAGUUCGUUGUUCAGCUCAAAAGAAGGUUAAAGCAUUAGAAGCUCAAUUAGAAAACGAACACGAAGAGCGCACGAGUCUGAUGCGUGAGAAACACGAACUUGAACGCCGAUUGGUCGCCGCGAUGGAAUCCACCAAUGAGAAAGCAUGUGAUGAGGCGUUAGUCCUACGUCUUAAACGUGACUUAAAACGCACGAAAGUGCUACUCCGCGAUACACAAUCACAACUGGAGCGUCAAAAGAAUGAAAACCCUGGCAAGAAUAUCAUUCGUCAACUGCGUAAUCAAAUCGAUGAUUUGGAAUGUGCGAGAUCCUUAGCAACCAAAGCUAAAUCCACCCUGGAAGCGGAACUCACCGAAACACAAAAUCUACUCGACGAUGCCUCAAAAUCCAAGUCAGAAACUGAAGAGAAACUCAACUCUCAGAUGCGUGAGAGGAAUGAUUUACAAAUGCAGUUGGAAGAAAACGAAGAGGAAUUAGCUGAGGUGUUGAAGAAGUAUAAAGCUUGUGUACAGCAAAUGUCGUUGGAUCAAUUGGCGCUGCAGGAACAAGUCAGUCUGGUUGCGGAGUUGGAGGUUGAGCGUAAUGGGUUGAAGGAACAGCUGGCUGAGAUGACGAGCAAGUUGGAGAGCGUGGAGAGUUUGGGUGAUGCCAGUUCGCAUAUUUUGGUCAAGCGAGCAGAGUUGAAGGUGAAAGAGUUGGAGAGUAAGCUGGAGCUGGAGCAGACGACGAAGCAGAGGCAGGAGGUGCAAGUUGUAAGGUUGAAGGAGGCGGUGGAUAAGUUGCAGUCGGAGGUGGCUACGGCCAGGGCCAAGGAGCAGUCUGCACAGGAUCAGAUUAGGAAGUUACAGAGGAGUGUCAGAGAACUAAGAGACGAACACAACCUAGCGUUAAGUCGUGAAGGCGAAGCGUUACUAAAACGCAAAGAACUUGAAAAACGCUGCGAAACACUCGAAGGUGAAGCCGCCACGGCCAGAACUGACCUGCGACUGGCACUAAAACGCAUCGAAGACCUCCAAUCGGCGAUUCAGGGUGAACUUGACGAUGAUAGCAUUGAUAAUUCAGACAGUUAUUCAUCCGACGAUUCCGUGAAUACUUUCCUGGCGAAUCACAACAGCACAUCACCAUCGCUCCUCUCAUCCGUGAGUGGCAUCGGCGGUGGUUCCACAUCCACCUCAUCCACACGCAAACUAUCUGGCGGGGGCGGCAAGGAUGGAUACGCAUGAGUGGCGGCGACGAUCUGCAGGACCAUCUCGCUGACGUUCUGCAGAAGCGACUCGCUCGACGACGACAUGAACUACCCAGAAGAGAAGGUGUAACUCUAGUAAACUAAACUAAAAACAAAAGACAAGCAUGCAAACCAACAACCGACUUUUUCGUUUUUAUUUUUGUUGUUGUUUGAUGGAAUAUAAUUAAUACUUUGUGAUAUCACUUACCAAUUAUCAGUAGAACACAAAAUGGAAGGGUUUUAGUUGUACACUGUAUACUUAUCAACUUAUUAGAGCAGUAAUCAAAGACUGAAGUAAGAAUGACCGCUUUUAUGAAUUAGAAAUGGAAACCAUUGCGAUGGAGAUGAUAAAAAAUGCUUACACUUUGGGCAAUAUAAUGAAUGCCUUCAUUUUUCUACGAAAUACAAAUAAUAAUCGAACAAUAAUUGAGCUAAGCGGCAAGUAACAGCGUAAACACUUAGAUUAAUAGUUGAAACAUGUACAUAACUAGGAUAAUUAUUCAUUAUUAUCGCAUAGAACUCUUGAUACAUGAAACUUUGAAACGAGAAGUCAUCCAAUUGCGUUUACUGCUCCAAUUACUGCAUAACCUAAGAUUUAAGCCUCUUGUGGCAUUAUUUAUUUAUCGCAUUGAUUAGUUAUUAUUAUUAUUAGAGGUAUGUUAGUAAUUUGUACAUAUAAAUGCGUACGAUUCAUAUCUUAUAUCUAUUUGCGUUCGGCAGGAAGAUAAUCAAUUCAUUUGAGUAUGUGUAAAUGGGAAAAAGUACAGAAACAGUACAGAAAUGUCUGCAGAUUAAAAA